UAUUUCUCAUUGAAUUUUUUUUUUUUUUUUUUGCAAAUUGUGGAUGUUUUGGAUUUCUUAUAAUUUUGGGUUGAAUUCACAUAUUGCGGUUCAGUAGGAGUUCCAAUGCGUAAAAUUUCUGGGCCGAAUUCACAUAUUGGGGUUUAUCAGUAGUUCGACAGCAUCAAAUUUCUGACCGAAAUUGCCACUUGUGGUUCAUCAGGAGUUCCAAAGCUUCCAAUUUGCUCCAAGAAUCUGAUAAUUUCGAGUUCCUUACGAGUUUAGAGGUACUAGAAGCUCAGCACUAAAACCACUUUUGUUCAAGGCUCACAUGCAGGACAUCCUAUUUUUGUAAAUCUUCCUUCAUUUUGGAUGCAAAGCUUAAAUAUACUACUUAAAAGCACUAUGGGGAACUUUGGAUGCAAAAAUUUUGUAUAGACAAUCUAUAAUAGUUUGGAUGCAAAGUUAGGGAUGAGAUAUACUUUUAUGACAAUUUGCAAUGCUUAGCUUUUGUAUAUCUGACUCAUUUUAAAGAGAAGUAUUAGAAGUAAUAUAUACAUGUUUUCUCAUUUAUCUUUUUA